rnacentral:rRNA from 1 species
AGAGUUUGAUCCUGGCUCAGGAUGAACGCCGGCGGUGUGCCUAAUACAUGCAAGUCGUACGCACUGGCCCAACUGAUUGAUGGUGCUUGCACCUGAUUGACGAUGGAUCACCAGUGAGUGGCGGACGGGUGAGUAACACGUAGGUAACCUGCCCCGGAGCGGGGGAUAACAUUUGGAAACAGAUGCUAAUACCGCAUAACAACAAAAGCCGCAUGGCUUUUGUUUGAAAGAUGGCUUUGGCUAUCACUCUGGGAUGGACCUGCGGUGCAUUAGCUAGUUGGUAAGGUAAUGGCUUACCAAGGCGAUGAUGCAUAGCCGAGUUGAGAGACUGAUCGGCCACAAUGGAACUGAGACACGGUCCAUACUCCUACGGGAGGCAGCAGUAGGGAAUCUUCCACAAUGGGCGCAAGCCUGAUGGAGCAACACCGCGUGAGUGAAGAAGGGUUUCGGCUCGUAAAGCUCUGUUGUUGGAGAAGAACGUGCGUGAGAGUAACUGUUCACGCAGUGACGGUAUCCAACCAGAAAGUCACGGCUAACUACGUGCCAGCAGCCGCGGUAAUACGUAGGUGGCAAGCGUUAUCCGGAUUUAUUGGGCGUAAAGCGAGCGCAGGCGGUUGCUUAGGUCUGAUGUGAAAGCCUUCGGCUUAACCGAAGAAGUGCAUCGGAAACCGGGCGACUUGAGUGCAGAAGAGGACAGUGGAACUCCAUGUGUAGCGGUGGAAUGCGUAGAUAUAUGGAAGAACACCAGUGGCGAAGGCGGCUGUCUGGUCUGCAACUGACGCUGAGGCUCGAAAGCAUGGGUAGCGAACAGGAUUAGAUACCCUGGUAGUCCAUGCCGUAAACGAUGAGUGCUAGGUGUUGGAGGGUUUCCGCCCUUCAGUGCCGGAGCUAACGCAUUAAGCACUCCGCCUGGGGAGUACGACCGCAAGGUUGAAACUCAAAGGAAUUGACGGGGGCCCGCAC